rnacentral:rRNA from 1 species
AUUGAACGCUGGCGGCAUGCCUUACACAUGCAAGUCGAACGGCAGCAUGGAGAGCUUGCUCUCUGAUGGCGAGUGGCGAACGGGUGAGUAAUGCAUCGGAACGUACCGUGUAAUGGGGGAUAACGUAGCGAAAGUUACGCUAAUACCGCAUACGACCUGAGGGCGAAAGCAGGGGAUCGCAAGACCUUGCGUUAUACGAGCGGCCGAUGUCAGAUUAGCUACUUGGUGAGGUAAAGGCUCACCAAGGCGACGAUCUGUAGCGGGUCUGAGAGGAUGAUCCGCCACACUGGGACUGAGACACGGCCCAGACUCCUACGGGAGGCAGCAGUGGGGAAUUUUGGACAAUGGGGGCAACCCUGAUCCAGCCAUGCCGCGUGAGUGAAGAAGGCCUUCGGGUUGUAAAGCUCUUUCGGCCGGGAAGAAAUCGCACAGGCUAAUACUCUGUGUGGAUGACGGUACCGGCAUAAGAAGCACCGGCUAACUACGUGCCAGCCGCCGCAGUAA